AUUUUUUUUAUGCAUUUAAGCUCCUGAAUGGAAUUAAUCAAUAGGUAAUUGGGGGACUUAGUUCACUAAUUGAUACAUAAUUAUAUUUAAUGUAUAUAUUCCCUAUUUCAUUAUUGCUACUAAAAGAUUUACCUUUUGUAUACGUUGCCAAUGGUGUUGAUUCCAUACACUGAUCCAUCUGUGGCAACUUCCACCAUAAUCAUGUUCCCAUCCACCUGUCUCCAUUCACUGCCUUUGCAAUCAUUUGGACUAACGUUCAGACGAUAAAAUAUAUCAUUGUUGCUGUUCACUCCCCAGCAACUAUAACGACCACAGCUAUAAUACUUCAAUCUUCCAUCAAGUAGUAUGAAAGGGAGAGAUGUCCCCUUGGAAAGAGUGAGAUCCUGGCUUAGGCAAAAAAUGUUAUCAGCGUUGUUCACACCUCCUAGGAAUACAUUACCCCCUGCGUCCACCUGUUUAAGGGCUCCUAUGAAAAAAUAUCAGCAGAUAACAUGAUUAAUGAUAAUUGGUUCAACACCCUGCAUGCCCUGAAACAAACCACACUGCAAACGUUGUCAGCAUAUCUGCACAAAUCACAUGGCCACACAACAGUAAAACAUAUAACAUGAUGGAAUCGUUCUCCUCUACAUCAAGAGAUGUUC